rnacentral:rRNA from 1 species
AUUGAACGCUGGCGGCAGGCCUAAUACAUGCAAGUCGAGCGGAGCGGCGGACGGGUGAGUAAUGCCUAGGAAUCUGCCUGGUAGUGGGGGAUAAAGUACGGAAACGGGCGCUAAUACCGCAUAAUAUAAGAUGAGCCUAGGUCGGAGUAGCUAGUUGGUGGGGUAAAGGCCUACCAAGGCGACGAUCCGUAACCGGUCUGAGAGGAUGAUCGGUCACACUGGAACUGAGACACGGUCCAUCCUCCUACGGGAGGCAGCAGUGGGGAAUAUUGGACAAUGGGCGAAAGCCUGACCGAGCCAUGCCGCGUGUGUGAAGAAGGUCUUCGGAUUGUAAAGCUCUUUAAGUUGGGAGGCGUUACCAACAGAAUAAGCACCGGCUAACUUCGUGCCAGCAGCCGCGGUAAUAC